AGUUUUAAUAAGAAGGCAAUUUCCACAGGUACUACUAAUCUACAGGUGCCAAAAGUCCACAGGUACAGAAUUUACAGGUACACUAAUGCCUAACCAUGCUUGUACAUGCCUUGUAGAAUCCAUAGGGGCAGAACACAGGUUUGUAGCACGAGGGAUGACACGUACGGCAAGACGAGCAGGAAUGGCAGGUGUUACUCCCUUGGUUAGUCAGUCCAGCACCUGUGAGGGAGAGACGAGGGAAGGUGAGGUUUGGGUCAAGUUUAUUAUGCAAUGUUCUGAAGCGUUAUGGAUGUAUAAAUCUUGGCGGGUGUUUUAAAUUCUGGUUGGUAUGAAACUGUUCUCUUUAAACCUUACGUGUGUGUGUGUGUGUGUGUGUGUGUGUGUGUGUGUGUGUGUGUGUGUGUGUGUGUGUGUGUGUGUGUGUGUGUGUGUGUGUGUGUGUGUGUGUGUGUGUGUGUGUGUGUGUGUGUGUGUGUGUGU